UACGAAGGGGGCUAGCGUUGUUCGGAAUUACUGGGCGUAAAGGGCGCGCAGGCGGCCCUCCAAGUCAGGCGUGAAAGCCCCGGGCUCAACCCGGGAAUAGCGCUUGAGACUGGGGGGCUUGAGUUCGGGAGAGGAGAGUGGAAUUCCCAGUGUAGAGGUGAAAUUCGUAGAUAUUGGGAAGAACACCGGUGGCGAAGGCGGCUCACUGGCCCGUUUCUGACGCUCAGGCGCGACAGCGUGGGGAUCAAACAGG
rnacentral:rRNA from 1 species